rnacentral:lncRNA from 1 species
CUUGUGUUUGCCACUUGUUGGAAAGCCAGGGCCUUUCAAGUAUGGAUCCAUUGACUGGGGUGCUGUUUCACGUAGAGCACACCCAGGAAUCAUCAUUUACUCUUUCCAGUUCAGAUUUCUUUAAACUAGAGAAGUGCUUAUGUUUCUGGAUCUUGAAUGCAUAGUCCUAGUUUUUUGUUUUGUGGGGGUUUUUUUUUGGAGGGGGGAAGGAUUCUUCAUAUUUCUUUUUCAUACCUGGUUUCACAUUUAUUUUUAGCCUAAAGCCUGUCCAAAGCAUGUGAUGUAGUUUUAAUUGAAGUGUAAGCUCCCCUUUUGUGGUCACAUCUCCAAUUUUAUGCAACAGUGAAUGAAACGUAACCAGUUGGACCAGCCUAAGAAGUGGAGGGAAGGAGAAAAGCAUUUCCCUCCCCUCGUAGGUUCAUGGGGGCCUGUGAGUAAAACUGAACUGACAAGAGAGAGGAGAACAGGAGGAAAAAAGGCUUAUACGCUGAAUUGAUGUUUUUAAUUUUAUGUGUUUGGGCGUUAGGCUGCCACAGAAAAGAGGAAACUCCCCAAGGAGUGGCUAGAGUUAAGAGUUUAUGUGCCAUUUAACAAAGGACAAUGAAGUGACUAGACAGGGCACCGAGGGCUUGGGUUCUAGAUAUAUAAAUUGAGAAAGGUAAAUAUCUG